GCCGCCGGAGCGACACAGUGCGU
rnacentral:siRNA from 1 species